UACGGAGGGUGCAAGCGUUAUCCGGAUUCACUGGGUUUAAAGGGUGCGUAGGCGGGUUGGUAAGUCAGUGGUGAAAUCUUCAAGCUUAACUUGGAACUGCCGUUGAUAACUAUCAAUCUUGAAUAUUGUGGAGGUAAGCGGAAUAUGUCAUGUAGCGGUGAAAUGCUUAGAUAUGACAUAGAACACCAAUUGCGAAGGCAGCUCACUACACAAUCAUUGACGCUGAGGCACGAAAGCGUGGGGAUCAAACAGG
rnacentral:rRNA from 1 species